rnacentral:rRNA from 1 species
AAACUUGAGAGUUUGAUCCUGGCUCAGAACGAACGCUGGCGGCGUGCCUAACACAUGCAAGUCGAACGGUAACAUAAGAGCUUGCUCUUGAUGACGAGUGGCGGACGGGUGAGUAACACGUAUACAAUCUACCUUUAACUGAGG